CCUACGGGCGGCAGCAGUGAGGAAUAUUGGUCAAUGGACGAGAGUCUGAACCAGCCACGUAGCGUGAAGGAUGACUGCCCUCUGGGUUGUAAACUUCUUUUAUAUGGGAAUAAAAUGCUCCACGUGUGGGAUUUUGUAUGUACCAUAUGAAUAAGGAUCGGCUAACUCGGUGCCAGCAGCCGCGGUAAUACGGAGGAUCCGAGCGUUAUCCGGAUUUAUUGGGUUUAAAGGGAGCGUAGGUGGAUGGUUAAGUCAGUUGUGAAAGUUUGCGGCUCAACCGUAAAAUUGCAGUUGAAACUGGCAGUCUUGAGUACAGUAGAGGUGGGCGGAAUUCGUGGUGUAGCGGUGAAAUGCUUAGAUAUCACGAAGAACUCCGAUUGCGAAGGCAGUUCACUGGACUGCAACUGACACUGAGGCUCGAAAGUGUGGGUAUCAAACAGGAUUAGAUACCCGGGUAGUC
rnacentral:rRNA from 1 species